AUUUAAAUAGCUUAUAAAGAGCAUAAUAUUGAAGAUAUUAAGGAAAUAGAUUUAUUUUUAAAUA
rnacentral:tRNA from 1 species